UGUUGCACGUGUUUGUGAGGCAGCAAUGCAACUGAAUUUUUGGGCAAAAAAUCCCGCCUAACUCUCUGUUUUUUUCGCAGAAUCCCGCCUAACUCUCAACCCACCUCCCACGUUUCUCUCAACCUCCUCCCACCGACAUACCUUGCUGCGUUACGAAACUAACCACCCUCGUCAGAUUUCCGAUGAAUUCGUCUCUCUCCUCCUCACCUUCAGCACCGGCCAUUAACGAAUUCCUUGAAUUCCGUCUUCAACCUUUACGUUAGCAAAGUCAAAUCUCCCAGUAUAAGCUAUCUCACUCCUCAUCCUAUAAAUUCAUGAAAAAUCCCAAUUAUUGAAUUCACAAUUCGCCCAACAAAUUCAAGAUAAAUUCGUUGCUCUCUCUGGUUUUUAAUUGGAGAAAUUCAAGCAUACUCUUGUUUCUUAAUUGCUGCUUCAUCCUCGGUGUUGCCGGAUAUAUUCGCCAGAUAGUUGGUAAUUUGGACGAUAGUUGGAAAGUGGUGAACGUCUGACUUCUUCUUCCGUGUUGUUACUACUGUAGGUUUCGCCGACCACACCGGUUCAAGGUUUCCUGUGAUUCUUUAGCGUUGUUCGUAGGUUCGUGCAUCAAUUCGUGCGUUGCUACACCGGUUCAAGGUUUCCUGCAAGUCUUUAGCGUUGUUCGUAGGUUCGUGCAUCGGUUCGUGCGUUGCAUAUG